GGACAAUACUAUAUUAAGAGAUCUGCAAGAGCAGUGCAGACAUAGUGAUAUUUUCAUUCAGCACUGUACAGAUGUGAGGCAGGAUCUGGAAACAAUAGAGCUGUACUAAACAUGAACUGUGCCCAGGUGCAUUAGUUGGGAAGUUGAAUGUGCAAGACAUGGCUGUAUUCAUUGCUAGCUCCAGAAGAUGCUCAGGUAUUUUUCCUCCAUGUUAUUGAGGCUUACCACUAUAUGCAGCCAAGAAAAUAUAGCUUAUUCUGAAAUGAAUGAAAAACUCUGGAAAAUUAUUGCAUUUAAUUUAUGUUUUUUUUUAACUAAUACCUGAAAGCUUGAGAAUGAUACCCAGUAAAGAGAUGAUGUUCUUGAUGCUUACACUCCAGGGAUAUAUAAACCAGAAAUUUUCAUGAUUGAAGGACAGUAAGUUACGUACAAGAGGCCUGCUCCAAUCACUGCAAGAUCAUCACGUGUAAAGUAAUUCUUCCAGAGAGAACUAAAGGAAACCACAUUUUGUGCCAGAAUAGAAAACAACAACAGAAGAUCAUGUAGUCUGACAGUCCUGGCCAGGACAAGAUCGGCUUUGGCACUUGGUGGCUGUUUAAUACAGCAAACUCUUUAUUUAAAUUUUAUUAGCCAAUAAUGAAUUCAUAGAUUUACAGGGCGUAGUGUUGCUUUUCUGGUUUCUUUUUUUUUUUUUGUGUGUGUGUGUGGUGUGUGUGUUUUUAUUUUUGUUAGGUUUUUUUCUAUUUAAUUAAAUCUGUGGGUUUUUAGGUGAGUUGACAGUAUUUGGUAUUUUUGCUAUUACAUUGUUUUUGUUACUUUUGACGCUAGAUAGUCAUACUAAUGCUUUCAGAAGCUAUUUUGACUCUUAGGCAAAUGACUUGUUUCCUUUCCUGUUUGUUCCAAUUGUAUCCUCUGACAAGGAGAGCCACAGAUUCAGUCUCUGAUGGCAUAUGUCUGAGUUUUAGAAUAUGCCAAUUCUAUUAAUAUUUCUGUUUUAAAGCCAACGUUUUUUGGACAGAAGCGACUUUUUGUGUUUUUUGUUUGUUUGUUUUUUAACUAUUUGUUCUCUCCGUUAUGGCAUGAAACAUUCAAGUAAAGCAGUGAAAUUAGUGCACAAAUGCUUUGCAAAUAGCAAAGUAGCAAUCUCUACUCUUAUAGCUGUGGAAUUCCAACACAGUUAAGAUGAUAGUAGCCAUCUUGCAUUAAUGUAAUUGCUUUAGCUAAACAACUUUUAAUCAUAAACAUAUGUUUAUUUUAUAUUCUUCAUGUGUGUGUGCAAUGUGAUAAAUACCAGUGUCUCUAUUAAUGGUAAUAAGGCAAUCAGUGUGCAAAACACCUCAGAAUGAAAAUGGAGAUCUCUAAAGCCUUAAUCCUUUAGGACUAGUUCCUAGACUUUCAUAAAUAUAUCCAAAGAGAGUUGCUAAAGCCAUCGAAUAUAAAAGGUAGAACAUUCUGAGGAAGGAAAACACUUUGUAUCCAACACGUUUAUGUGGUUUGUACCACGUGGUGACAAAGGCAAUUAGUGGAGCCUUACUAGAAAACUUUUAAGAUUUCUCAGGACUUUUUCUCCAGCAACUUAGGUAUUUAUUAAUAUGGUGUGAGAGAACUUUAGUCACAGAUCCAGCUACACGACUGAUAGUCAUGAAAUAUCAUAGAUUAGGCCAGGUUGGAAGGGAUGUUGAAAGAUCUUCAGGUACAACCUUUUAUGGGAAAAAGUAGCCUAGACAGAUUAUCUAGCACUCUGUUCGGUGGCAUCUUGAAAACCUCCAGUGACAGGGAUUCUAACAGGAAACAUGGGAUGUUGUUCCAGUGAUUGAUCUUUCUCAUGGUAAAAAAUUCCUUUCUUAUAUUGAGACAAAACCUUCUCUAGUGCAGUGUGUACCAGCUGCUCCUUGUCUUCUCCAUGUGGCUCCUCAUGAACAGAGAGCCUCUGUUCUCUUUCUAGCUGCUCUUUAAGUACUGGAAUACUGCAGAAAUAUUU
ensembl:lncRNA